CGUGUAGGCGGUAUGAUAAGUCAGAUGUGAAAGCCCUGGGCUUAACUCAGGAAGUGCAUUUGAUACUGUCAUUCUUGAGUAUGGGAGAGGAGAGUAGAAUUCCCAGUGUAGAGGUGAAAUUCGUAGAUAUUGGGAGGAAUACCCGUGGCGAAGGCGACUCUCUGGACCAAUACUGACGCUGAGACGCGAAAGCGUGGGGAGCAAACA
rnacentral:rRNA from 1 species